UCCCGAGGACCAGAAUAAUUCUUAGAUUUUUUUUUAUCUUUUCUUCUCUUUUCAACCAAAAAGGCAUAGUUAUUAAAUCUUUUUGUUUUUCAAUUGAGUUCUCUUUCUUUGUCUUUGCAUUCGUCUGCAACUAGAGGAACUUUGAGGGACCUUUCAAAGACAACACUCCAACUGGGGCAGAAUCAAUUCUGUUAAUGCAGGGGAUGAGAAAAUGGUAAUAUUUCAUCAUGAUGAAUUUGUGCCCGUAGCAUCUUGCAGUUUGAACUCUCAACCGGAUGGGUUUGAUUUUGUUAGCAAAAGGGACAAAUAAUACAACUUCAGUUAACCAUCACCCGUCAACAAAAUGGCCAUCCACAUCCAAUUUAAGAAAAAUAUGGCAAUGGUAUUGCCUUCAUACUUUUCUUUUUUACUCCUAGGGGU